GUUGAAACACGGGCUUCUGUACGACCACCGACGUUAAGCAAUGUCGAUUCUGGUCAGUACCUAGAUGGGUGACCGCUUGGGAAUACCAGGUGCU